GGAAAACAUACAGCAUUGUAUUAUGAAGAAGCAGUGUGUACUUAGCUUAGAUUCCUUGUCUAUGUCCAACCAUAGACCGUCAAUUUAGUUCCAUCUUUAGCCGCUAGGUGCUGCCAGCAAGUAUAAAGGAAGCGCAGCCAUCUUUGAUCUUCAUAGUCUUCACCAGGAAGAACUUCCUGCAAUGCUGUAUGUUUUCCUUCUCGGCACAUAAUAUCGGUUUUAUUGUUAUGUAAAACCGUAAUAUUGAUGUGCCUUUGGAAAACAUACAGCAUUGUAUUAUGAAGACGUGUUUGUUAUCUGCUGGUGAAAAUAUUAAGCACAACGCUAUGAUGAAAUAGAAAGUCGACAGCGCUGCUUUAUGCAGAAGGAUUGUUUUACAGGCAAAAUUUUCUUUUUGGAAACGAAAACAGAAUUUGGCAACAUCUGCAGACUUAGGAUCAAUUUUAAAACUGUAGCACCAUAUGCACCAUCUUCUAGUUGCUGGUAAGUAUGCUGGCAAAGUGGAUUGACACCAGCUACUUUUCAAUAAAUCUUCUCCUGUGUAGACCAGUCUAUUAUUUGUACAACCUCCCCCCCCCGUUUCUAAGCUUUCAGGGUUAAUGUUUACCCUGUGGAGGAGGCAGGUUUUGGAUUUCGUGCAAGUUAUCUAGCGUUCGGGAUCUGAGGGCUUGGAAACCCAAAUGCUUUCGCUUAGUCUGGAAACACUACCAGGUAGGUUCCCUAGACACUGUUGAAGUGAGUCAGUACUCUGGGGAAAAGGUUGAGAGGAGGAAUUCUCCAUGCUAGUUGCAUCCUCUACGGUCUGCUGAAGGUAUCCAAUCUUGGUCGGCGAAUGGGUUUAUAUCCGGAUGACCCCACUUUCGAAAAACUUUUGUGGUCACUUGUGGCAAAAAGUGCCAUUUCGCAGGUUGAUUUCCUCGUGAUAGCCUAUCGGCUACGAUGUUGUAUCUCCCCGAGAGAUUAUAAGCUGACAGUUAUCUUGAACUUAUCGCUUAGUUUAAAAAUCGAAAGGUCAACCGCUAGUGAAAUACUUUCAGAUUCAUUUUGAUUGUCACUACCAUUGCAAAUUGUCACUACCAUUGCAAAUAGCUCUUUUGUGGUUGAGCCGUUUCAGUUGUUGAGCUGACCAUAGACAGGACGUUAAUAUUUUGUCUAAUUGUAACCCCUACCCAUAUCCGAAGCUUCCGUUGCCAGGAAAUGGUUGGUUUUGUGUCUCGGCAAUGUUUGACAUGUGGCUCCGCGUCAGCACUGCAUUUGUAAUUGCCAGGAAAUGGUUGAUUUUGUGUAUCGGCAAUGUCUGACAUGUGGCUCCGCGUCAGCACUGCAUUUAAUUGUUAACACAUGCAGGAUGGCCUGUUUUUUACGGGGGUGUUUUUUCUUGAAACUUCGCAAGAAAAUUUGCAAGUUAACAUAGAUUGAUGUAACUCCGUCAGGGUUUGAGCUAGGAUGUUGUUGAGUGGCCACUUUAUUUCUCGCAAUUUUCCAUCGAAUCCCUAGACAUGUCAUCUCUUGAACCAGUGUACUAAUUGAUUUUUUGUAAGGCUGACUUGGCAGCCCAAAUAAUCAAAGAGCUUCACAGCUUAUGUGGCCUGAAGACUCAACUUGGACUUCUUUUGAUGGACCAGGAGGGACUUGCGUAGGUGGGAUAACACUCAACAUCCCUUUGCACGCAAUGUUUCCGUGACUGAGCAUGCUAUGCAAGCAAAAUAGGUGUAUUUGUUUUCAUGGACCAAGAGAAAGUCGCGUAGGUAGGUUAAAAUUUGACUUCCCUAUGUACGUAAGGUCUUCGCGACCGAGCAUGCUAUGGGAGCAAAAAAGUUUAUUUGUCUUGGUGAAACAAGAUCAAGUCGUGUAGGUAAGCUAGCACUUCGACUUUGCACGCAAUGUCUUCGCGACCGAGCAUGCUAUGGAAGCAAAAAGGUGUAUUUGUCUUCAAGGACCAAGAGAAAGUCGCGUAGGUACGUUAACAUUUGACUUCCCUAUGUACGCAAGGUCUCCGCGACCGAGCAUGCUAUGGGAACAAAAACGUUUAUUUGUCUUGGUGAAACAAGAUUAAGUCGUGUAGGUAAGCUAGCACUCUACUUUGCACGCAAUGUCUCCGCGACCGAGCGACCGAGCACCCUACAUAAUGGAAAUUGACAUGCCAGCCCAGAUAAUCCAAAAUCUUCACGGCUUCUGCAGCCUGAAGUUUCAACUUGGAUUUGUCUUGGUCGACCAAAAGGAAGUCGUCUAGUAGACACUAGCACUCGAGUUCCCUUUGCACGCAAGGUCUCUGCGACCCGCAUGUUAUAGAAGCAAAAAGGUGUGGCUCUGAAGCCAGACCGAAGGGUAGGCAUGUCAUUUCAUACUAACUCAUAAGAAGGUACCGAUUCCUUCCUGAAGGUACUGAUACUGGUACCUUGGUACUGAUCCUCAAGAA